GACGAACGCUGGCGGCGUGCCUAAUACAUGCAAGUUGAGCGCUGAAGGUUGGUACUUGUCCCGACUGGAUGAGCAGCGAACGGGUGAGUAACGCGUGGGGAAUCUGCCUUUGAGCGGGGGACAACAUUUGGAAACGAAUGCUAAUACCGCAUAAAAACUUUAAACACAAGUUUUAAGUUUGAAAGAUGCAAUUGCAUCACUCAAAGAUGAUCCCGCGUUGUAUUAGCUAGUUGGUGAGGUAAAGGCUCACCAAGGCGAUGAUACAUAGCCGACCUGAGAGGGUGAUCGGCCACAUUGGGACUGAGACACGGCCCAAACUCCUACGGGAGGCAGCAGUAGGGAAUCUUCGGAAAUGGACGAAAGUCUGACCGAGCAACGCCGCGUGAGUGAAGAAGGUUUUCGGAUCGUAAAACUCUGUUGGUAGAGAAGAACGUUGGUGAGAGUGGAAAGCUCAUCAAGUGACGGUAACUACCCAGAAAGGGACGGCUAACUACGUG
rnacentral:rRNA from 1 species